UUUUGUAAUCGGAGCCCAUAGUUUUCCAAUCACUUUGGGUUGUAAUUUAUUAUUUAUGUUGUUUCAAUUUUAUUGAAGUUAGUACUUUAUUUAAAGUGAGAGUACAUGUAUUUAAUUUCGUAAUAUAUUUAUCCUAAUAAUAGAAUCUUUAAUUCAUCAAAUUGUUCACGUAUAAUGAAAUUAUAAAACACACCAAAUAAAACUCACCAAUUGGAAUUACAUAAACACACCAACUAAAAUUACAUAAACAUACGAAAUAAUAAAAAACUCACUACAAAAAACACACCAAAUAAAGUUACAUAAACACACCAAAUACAAACAAACAUACUAAAUAAACUUAAGUAUCUUCAGCUUG
rnacentral:lncRNA from 1 species